rnacentral:rRNA from 1 species
GUGCCAGCCGCCGCGGUAAGACGAACCGUGCGAACGUUAUUCGGAAUCACUGGGCUUAAAGCGCGUGUAGGCGGAUGGGGACGUCGGCCACUGAAAGCCCCCGGCUCAACCGGGGAAGGGGUGCCGAAACGGCCCGUCUGGAGGGGCGUAGGGGGACCUGGAACUUCCGGUGGAGCGGUGAAAUGCGUUGAGAUCGGAAGGAACGCCCGUGGCGAAAGCGAGGUCCUGGACGUCAUCUGACGCUGAGACGCGAAAGCUAGGGGAGCGAACGGGAUUAGAUACCCGCGUAGUCC